GGAAGAAUGCCUUAUGGGUUGUAAACUGCUUUUAUAUGGGAAGAAUAAGGAGUACGCGUACUUUGAUGACGGUACCAUAUGAAUAAGCAUCGGCUAACUCCGUGCCAGCAGCCGCGGUAAUACGGAGGAUGCGGGCGUUAUUCGGAAUCAUUGGGUUUAAAGGGUCUGUAGGCGGGCUAUUAAGUCAGAGGUGAAAGGUUUCAGCUUAACUGAGAAAUUGCCUUUGAUACUGGUAGUCUUGAAUAUCUGUGAAGUUCUUGGAAUGUGUAGUGUAGCGGUGAAAUGCUUAGAUAUUACACAGAACACCGAUUGCGGAGGCAGGGGACUAACAGACGAUUGACGCUGAGAGACGAAAGCGUGGGGAGCGAACAGGAUUAGAUACCCUGGUAGUCCACGCUGUAAACGAUGGAUACUAGCUGUUUGGAGUAAUUUGAGUGGGUAAGCGAAAGUGAUAAGUAUCCCACCUGGGGAGUACGCACGCAAGUGUGAAACUCAAAGGAAUUGACGGGGGCCCGCACAAG
rnacentral:rRNA from 1 species